UAGAGUAACUUGUUGAGUAAUAUUGAAAUGAAUAGUGUUAUUAUGGAAAUAAUUAAAUCCACUCAUGGAAAUGAUAAAGUUUGUUUCAAAGAUUUUAUGUACAUACGUCAAAAGGAUUGUAAGUAUUUUAUUAUAGAUGGAGAUGUUUAAAAUGUAUAGUUCGUUCAAAAGCUGGAUAGCUAUUUUAAAAACAUCCUAUACAAUUAAAAAUCCAAGAGAAAUCCACGAAUAUAAUCAUUCUGCAGAUAAAAAUGCUAUAGCUGCCAUAAAAAUUCAAAGAAAGAUAAAAAAAAGCUUUAGCGUCAAACGUAACUCCCGGCCAAAUAUUUUCCGAGGCAAUCAAAAAUUUAGCAGUAGAUAUUUUAGCUGAAUUGCUUAAGGAAGCUUAUAUUAAACGUACCAUUAGAAACCAUCGAAGUUAUCAUGAUCCAAACAAACCUCAAAACAUACAAGAAAUUGUUAUUCAUGGUGAAUGGGCAUUUAUUAAUAAUGAUAGAUUAUUAUUGAGGGACAAUGGUCUAGAGGCAUCUGAAAGAAUAGUUAUGUUUGCAACAGAUGAUCAUUUAAGACUCCUUACAGCAUCAGACACCUGGUACUUAGACGGGCAUUUCGGAUUGUCCCCAAAAUGUUUCUUACAAUUAUACGUAAUACUUAUAAAAAAAAAUGUAUUUUUAUCUUCAAUUUAUUGUAUUUUACCACAAAAAACUUAAUCAACAUAUGUGGAAAUUAUAAUGGAAGAAUGUGAUUUAUAUCUAAAAUUUAUAUCGACCA